rnacentral:rRNA from 1 species
UACAGAGGGGGCAAGUGUUGUUCGGAAUUACUGGGCGUAAAGGGCGCGUAGGCGGCCUUCUAAGUCGAACGUGAAAUCCCCGGGCUCAACCCGGGAACUGCGUCCGAGACUGGGAGGCUUGAAUCCGGGAGAGGGAUGUGGAAUUCCAGGUGUAGCGGUGAAAUGCGUAGAUAUCUGGAGGAACAUCGGUGGCGAAGGCGGCAUCCUGGACCGGUAUUGACGCUGAGGCGCGAAAGCCAGGGGAGCAAACGGG